AUACGGAGGGUGCAAGCGUUAAUCGGAAUUACUGGGCGUAAAGCGUACGUAGGCGGUUCGUUAAGUUAGAUGUGAAAGCCCCGGGCUUAACCUGGGAACUGCAUUUAAAACUGGCUAACUAGAGUUAAGUAGAGGGGAGUGGAAUUUCAGGUGUAGCGGUGAAAUGCGUAGAGAUCUGAAGGAAAACCAGUGGCGAAGGCGACUCCCUGGACUUGAACUGACGCUGAGGUACGAAAGCGUGGGUAGCAAACGGGAUUAGAAACCCUAGUAGUCC
rnacentral:rRNA from 1 species